UAGGCGUAAAUGAUGCGAGUUAAGUGUGGGGGCAUCUACGAGAUGGCCCUGUGCUGUAGGGUAGCCGUUAAACUCGCUGCCUGGGGGAGUACGGUCGCAAGGCUGAAACUUAAAGGAAUUGGCGGGGGGAGCACCACAAGAGGUGGAGGCUGCGGGUUCAAUUGGACUCAACGCCGGAAACUACAUCGGGAGGCGACAGCAGUAUGAUUGCCAGGUUGGAUGACCUUGCUUGACAAGACUGAGAGGAGGU
rnacentral:rRNA from 1 species